ACGGGAGGCAGCAGUGAGGAAUAUUGGUCAAUGGGCGAGAGCCUGAACCAGCCAUGUCGCGUGCAGGAUGACGGCCCUACGGGUUGUAAACUGCUUUUAUAUGGGAAGAAAAAAGUCUACGUGUAGACUAUUGCCGGUACCAUAUGAAUAAGCAUCGGCUAACUCCGUGCCAGCAGCCGCGGUAA
rnacentral:rRNA from 1 species